rnacentral:misc_RNA from 1 species
AAGUCGUAACAAGGUUUCCGUAGGUGAACCUGCGGAAGGAUCAUUAACACGUCUAUUUAUUAUCCAAUAUCUAAAACAAACGCGAACUAAAACCCCGCCCUAUUAUCGCUAAGGUCGAAUCUAUGGGGAUUGUGUGUGAUUACUCAUAUACAGUCUCUCAUAGAGUUGACUAUGAUAGGCUAUUUUUAUAUUUAUAAUUUAAACCUAUAUAUACCGAAUUGACCUAAUACUAAGACAUUCUAGUCUUCAAAUCAAUGGAUAUAUUAGUGAUAAUAUAUUCAAUGUUUGAAUACUGCUUGUUGUUAUAUUUUACGAAAUGUAAAGAACAACUCUUAGCAAUGGAUAUCUUGGUUCUC